UCCAGUCAAGAGGUCAAGAAUGUUCCUGUCUGCAUCAGCUAUCCAUCUGAAAAAGAAAAGCUGGCACUCGCAAAGGAGAUUGUGUUGUUGGAUUAUGGUCUUAUUUGGUCAAAAAGAGGGACAUGUACCUGGAUUUAUAAAAAUGAGAUUACAGAACAUCAGACGGUAGCUUCAACAGAGUUGAAGUGGGAGGACAUCAUCAAUAAAGAAUGCCAUUGGCCAAACCUUCAGUCAUCAAAGAAGAUGGAUACAGGGGGACAUCAAGUUUUCCAGACUUACCGAUGGGAAAGAAGAAAUGGGAAUGUGACAAUUAUUGAGAAACUCAGGAAAAAAACAUCUUAAGAGAAGAAA